GGCGGGAGGCCAGAUCCUGGGCUGUGUCCCGGGAACCCAGUGCUCCCGGGCCUGUACUGUUGGAUUCGCGCUCCCGGCCGUGCAUCCCCCU
rnacentral:pre_miRNA from 1 species